rnacentral:miRNA from 1 species
GCUAUGGGGAUCUGGCACUGUGGUUCCUGCAUGAAAAUAGUAGCUUGUGGUGCCUGGACCUACAACGCCACUUCUGCUGUCACAGUAAAGUCUGCC